rnacentral:rRNA from 1 species
AUGAAGUUCCUAUGUUGGAACAUACGCGGCUUCAAGGACUUGGGCCGGAGGCGGCAGUUGAUUUAUUACAUCAGGCAGGAGGAGAUCGAUAUUGUAGGUUUGCAGGAGACGAUCCGCCAGGACUUCUCCAUCCAGGAACUACAGGGGCUGUCCCAACACUUGUUUGCCUGGCAGUGGCUGCCCACGAUUGGGCUAUCUGGGGGCAUCCUGCUGGGUGGCCGGGAGGAUCUGUUCUCAGUUGAAGACAUGGAAAGAGGGGAAUUCUUCGUUAGUGUGUCCAUCACUGGCCGACGAAGGAACCUCAGUUGGGAGGUGACCAUCUUCUAUGGCCCGGCAGAUCACGGGCGGUCAACAGACUUCCUGGACGAGCUUAAGGAUAAGGUGGAACACUGCACCACGCCGGUGGUGGUCGCGGGAGACUUUAACCUUAUUAGGAAGGAAGCUGAGAAGAGUUCCCCUAAUAUAGAUCGUCUGCGUAUGUGUUUGUUCAAUGAUUGCAUUGUUGAUUUGGCUCUACGCGAGAUUGCCUGUGUUGGGGCCAGAUUCACGUGGACUAAUAAGUAG